rnacentral:rRNA from 1 species
CACGUAGGGUGCGAGCGUUGUCCGGAAUUAUUGGGCGUAAAGAGCUCGUAGGCGGUGUGUCGCGUCUGCCGUGAAAACCUGCAGCUUAACUGUGGGCUUGCGGUCGAUACGGGCAUCACUGGAGUUCGGCAGGGGAGACUGGAAUUCCUGGUGUAGCGGUGAAAUGCGCAGAUAUCAGGAGGAACACCGGUGGCGAAGGCGGGUCUCUGGGCCGAAAUUGACGCUGAGGAGCGAAAGCGUGGGGAGCGAACAGG